UACGAAGGGGGCUAGCGUUGCUCGGAAUGACUGGGCGUAAAGGGCGCGUAGGCGGUUCGUACAGUCGGGCGUGAAAUUCCUGGGCUCAACCUGGGAAUGGCGUUGGAAACUGGCUUGCUAGAGUGUGGCAGAGGGGGGUGGAAUUCCGCGUGUAGCAGUGAAAUGCGUAGAGAUGCGGAGGAACACCGAUGGCGAAGGCAGCCCCCUGGGCUGACACUGACGCUCAGGCACGAAAGCGUGGGGAGCAAACAGG
rnacentral:rRNA from 1 species